UCAUAGAAUCAUAGAAUGGCCUGGGUUGAAAAGGACCACAAUGAUCAUCCAGUUUCAACCCCCCUGCUGUGUGCAGGGUCACCAACCACCAGACCAGGCUGCCCAGAGCCACAUCCAGUCUGGCCUUGAAUGCCUCCAGGGAUGGGGCAUCCACAACCUCCUUGGGCAACCUGUUCCAAUGAACAGGUUGUGUUCGGUGGUCUUACAGGUCUUUUCCAACCUUAAUGAUUCUGUGGUCCUAUAAUAUAGGAUAUAAUAUGUGGUCCUAUACUGCAUAAUCCUGCUCCCAGGUUUGCAGGGCUGAAGAAAGGUAGGGAUAAUUUUGCCUGCUGUGCAUAGUUUCAGAUUAUGAGUCUUCAGGGCCAUUAAAUUGUUAUCUCUCAUGAUUGCUUAGGUCUUCAAGGGAGUUUUUCUAAAGUACCUAAAUAUUUGAAUUUCACAGCUUACGUUUCUUUCCAAUACAGCUCGUUCCACCUUCACUUGCCUAACUUCAGUGCUAUGUUCCUGUGCUGUCAUUUCCAUGAUUGUCUCUUGCUCUGUAUUAUCUACUGAAAGAGAGGCUGCUGCACCCCCAUCGUUCUCAUACUUCGCUGCCAAGCUGGUGGCUUCAGUUAACAAGUGUCUGGUGCCUUGGGUAUGCAAAGAGCAAUGAAUGCAAGCUCCAGAGGGCAAAAGUCUAAGCAAAAAAAGUCCAUGUAAGAUGUGGGAGAGCACUUAAGCACCAGGGAAAGCUGUAACAAAAUUCCUCUGGCAUCAAGGGUGAGACUCAGCUGAGCUAACCACAACAACAGUGUGAACAGCAAGAUCUGAACUGAUGGUGCUGGAAUGCCUCCACAAUCAACAGAGGGAUACAAUGACACAUACACAGCAUAAAAUGGGCCUUCCUUUCCAUUGACUAGAAACCUGGGACUCUACAUGACCCUGGAGCACUGGCUAAGCAACAGAAUCCUACCUACAGACAUUCCAGAUGCUAUGGUUGAAUUCCACCCAAAAGCCACCCUGAUGUCCUAUUUGGGAACUCUGUUAAUAGAAAAACGGUUUAUCCAGCCAGCUUUCAUCACAAGCAGUUUCCAAGGGGGUCAUUAAUAUGCUAUGUAAUUCCAAACCUAACUAUUCUAAUGUGCAUUGAUUUCAUCUUAUGUGGGAAAAAGAGCUCAUUGCUUAUUAUAGGUUGUAAUAUAUCUCCACAGAAAAGGUAAAAGCUAGCCGCUAGCCUCACACAAAUGACUAUUAGAGGAGUUAGCAGUGUUUGCUUAAGACGGUGCAUCACAGCCGAAUGCCUUCCAACAGAGCACUGGGAUGCCAGGCUGCCCUGCAGUGGGAAGGAGCAAGGCAGAAGUAAGCUGAAUUAGGGGAAAAAUGGAAAAAAAGCAGCAGGAACAUGGGUAAGUGCAUGGUAGGUGGAAGCAGUUGGGUCGUGGUGUUUGUCUGCAGGUCCAAUACUGCUGUGCGUGGGUGGGUGGCAGCAGUUGGGUGGUGGUGUCUCUCUGCUGGUCCACCACCAACCAUUUAUGUGUUCCUGGGUUCAGGCACCAGGAGGGCUUUGCUGCAGUUUCUGCAAGGCAGAAAGCUUCCCACUAUCACGCUAUUAGAUGCUCCAAACAGAACUGCAGCCGGAAAGCACCUCUGGAGUACUGUCCGAAAGAGUCAUAUAUGCUAAGAUAACAAUAGAGUAUCAUUUUCUGGCACUUGAAUAUUGUCCUUCCCACCCACUUACUGUUCUAUCACUCAAUUCAAGACUCUUUUUUUGCUUUUUCCCCCCCACUUUUGUCAAUUUUUACUUCAUAUUAGUUGCUGCUCUUGAGAUUUUUUUCUGAGCUCUUGUCUGUGGAGCUCAGUCCUGUCAUAGCCCCAGGUUUUUAAAGCAGUAGAGCAGUAAUUUAUAUCCAUAUCUGACACCUUAUAUGAACUUUGGGUACAGCCUUGGGGCUUCAGCCUCCAUGUUACUUUAGAAAUGCUAAAAGAGGCU
ensembl:lncRNA